GACAAUGAUACGUAGCCGACCUGAGAGGGUAAUCGGCCACAUUGGGACUGAGACACGGCCCAAACUCCUACGGGAGGCAGCAGUAGGGAAUCUUCCACAAUGGACGAAAGUCUGAUGGAGCAAUGCCGCGUGAGUGAAGAAGGGUUUCGGCUCGUAAAACUCUGUUGUUAAAGAAGAACACUUCUGAGAGUAACUGUUCAGAAGUUGACGGUAUUUAACCAGAAAGCCACGGCUAACUACGUGCCAGCAGCCGCGGUAAUACGUAGGUGGCAAGCGUUGUCCGGAUUUAUUGGGCGUAAAGCGAGCGCAGGCGGUUUUUUAAGUCUGAUGUGAAAGCCUUCGGCUUAACCGGAGAAGUGCAUCGGAAACUGGGAAACUUGAGUGCAGAAGAGGACAGUGGAACUCCAUGUGUAGCGGUGGAAUGCGUAGAUAUAUGGAAGAACACCAGUGGCGAAGGCGGCUGUCUAGUCUGUAACUGACGCUGAGGCUCGAAAGCAUGGGUAGCGAACAGGAUUAGAUACCCUGGUAGUCCAUGCCGUAAACGAUGAGUGCUAGGUGUUGGAGGGUUUCCGCCCUUCAGUGCCGCAGCUAACGCAUUAAGCACUCCGCCUGGGGAGUACGACCGCAAGGUUGAAACUCAAAGGAAUUGACGGGGGCCCGCACAAGCGG
rnacentral:rRNA from 1 species